UUCAAUAGGUGUGAUAGAGAACCCAUCAG
rnacentral:piRNA from 1 species